GCAGGCCAAGGGGAAAGCCCUUUUCUAUUUCCAGCAGGACACACCUGGCAAUGGAUGUGACAUUCAGCACUGCCCAGGUUUCUUCCACUUGGAGGAGGCAAAGUGGUGAAUGGAAGAAGGCAAUCCUCUGGCAGUGGGAUGCUAGGGAGAGAUAAUAAGGCAAGUUUGCUUGCUUGAAGGCUGCUGGUAUCAGUGGUUGGAAGCUGGCUGAUGUCUCAUGAUGGACCUAACAGUAGCUUCUGGCACAAUGGGACACUUUGACGGAAACCAGACGCAUAGAAAUGCCGUUUGUGCGGAUUCGAACUGCCGGCCUUCUGAUUGGCAAGCCCAGGAGGCUCUGUGGUUUAGACCAGCAUUGUCGAUCGGGAUCGACUUGUAGAUCAUGUGAUUGUUUCUUGUAGAUCUCUCUCUCUCUCUCUCUCUCUCUCUCUCUCUCUCUGAAGGAGAAGCAAGUGGGCACUAGGCAGGCGGAGGUGUACUCAGAGAGGCUGGGCCAGAAAGAGAAGCCCUGUACGCUGGCCCCUCGAGAGAAAGAGCUGGUGUGGGUCCAGAGAGAGAGAGAGAAAGAGAGAGAUCUGCUAAAAGAAAGGACACAGUAGCAAUGGCUGAGCGACCCAGCAUGGACAAUAGUAGAGGGGUAAUAACCUCACUCCUCAAAUCCUUAUAAAGAGUGCAGCCAGAAGCACAUGAGCCACUGACUCCCCAUACUGCCAUCUCCACAUGGACAUAACCUUUUUUCCAGUGGAAUUUUUUGAAAUCGACCCUCAAGUACAGGUGAAGGCAGUAUAUUCAAUCUUGCGAAAGUGAAAGCGCGUCUGUAUUUUGGAAUUGUUAAUUUUUGCCAACAGGGAGCCAAAGUGUCAAACUGACUGGGUGGGAAAUCAUCAUACCAUGGACAAAAUUUCCUUAUCGUGGCCAAAUUAUUCUGUCGCUCAAUAUCAUAUGGGCACUGUCUAAUUAUAACAGUGUUAAUAACUGUUGUGGUGAUAAACCAGAAAAGUAAAGCUUUUGGUUUACAAUUUUGGUCCAAGCGUUCUCAUGACAAUCUUGCGAUACUAAGGGUAGUAGACCAGUGGGGUUUAAAUUUAGAUGAAGGCGAUAAUUCAAUGUCCCACACUAAAUCUGCCAUUCAACAGUGGGGAGAUUAGCCUCCAAGCGCAAUGAAGCAUUUGGAACACAGGAUGCAGCAGAAAAAAAUUGCCUUCCGACAAAUUUGCCUACCGGUAGGACGGAGGUUAACAUGGAUAUUUUUUUUGGGGGGGGGGGGGUUAAGGACCAGAAUGUAUCACCUAAAGCAGGAUCCUUCCAUCCCUCCAGACCGGUUGCUGGAAAAUCUCACUGGCUGCUGAAUUAUGCAAAAACAACUGCAACCAUGCGUGCAAGUGUCCCUGUGAAAUGUUUUAAAGUAUGUGACUGGCUUACAAGCAAGAUGAUUAAUUCCUUAAUACAAAUCUGAGUGUAAAAAUAGAUGAAGGUAGCAGUACCUCAUGACGGCUGUACGUGUUAGGGAAUAAUCCCUUUUAUUUCACAAAUAGGGGCAGAUGACUUAACUGGAUGCCCUGAAUUGUGUGUUUUGAUUUUGAGUGCAUCUAUCAGAGUCACGAGGCUUUCAUAUCAUUCUCUAAUCACCUGCUUUCAUUAGUAAUGUGGGGAAACAAUCAGGGAUCCUUACUUAAAUGCAGACUAAUUUAGCUCUGCUUUUGAAAAAAAAUGAAACGAAAUUCAUAGUUUUGCUUAAUGUUUCCCCCUGGUUAUUAUAUUUAUUUCCAGUUUAUGUCAUCCUGUUAAGUGGACUAACCCCUCUUCACCUUUCACCUCUGUGGACCCUGCUAAGAUGAAGGUCAUUUCCAGAUUCUUCAAGUACCUUCAAGUUCUUCAUCAUCCUUGGCUUUUUUCCCAGGCUGAAGAAGAACAGAAUACAAAACAGCUGCUCCACCACACUGGCUGUUUAAUAAAACACACAGAAAGGCUUCACUUUGCUCACUCUUCAUUGUGUUUCCUCUAUAGUUAGGCAGCUCUCCAAUCAAUAAGAGUAAUUAAAAUCAUCCAUUAUCAAGAACAUGGCCAUUUCGCGGAGCACCUUUAUCUCGGAGCACUUUUCUUCUUCUGCUACCUCAAAUUGCUUUGCGGUCUUACAGAUCUAAUGAGAGUCAUCUUAUUGCGGCUUCUUUCUACAAGUCAUUAGUACCCAUUCAUUCAUACUUUGCCUUCCAUAUAUUAGCCCAAAUCAUUUGGCAAACAUCAAGGCUCCCUUCUAUCUUUCCAGUAUCGAUGGGAUGAUAAGGUCUGCUCUGCCGUGAAAAUAAUAACAUAUUUUUCCGUCUAUAAGACGCUCCCAUGUAUAAGAUGCCCCCUAAUUUUUUGGACUCAAAUUUAAGAAAAUGGGGGGAGACGGCCCUGUGUAUAAGAUGCCCCCUAAUUUUUGACAUUAUUUUUAAGGAAAAAAACCUAGUCUUAUACGAUAUUAUUAUUAUUAUUAUUAUUAAUGGGCGGUAUUAUUGGGUUGUGGGGGGUAUUAUUGGGUUGUUGUUUUUAUUUUGAUUAUAUAUAUUGUAGUUUUUAUGUUGAGCUUUUCUGUGAACCGCCGUGAGACCUUCAGGUAUAGGACAGUAUAUAAAUUUAAUAAACAUUAUUAUUAUUAAAUAUUUUUAUCCUUCUUCUCAGAAGCAGUGCCUAAUAAUAAUAAUAAUAAUCAUAAUAAUAAUUUAUUUUUUUUCCCCACCGCUGCCACCCAUCUGGCUGGGUUUCCCCAGCCACUCUGGGCAGCUACCAACAAAGUAUGAAAAUACAGUAGUCUGUUAAACAUUAAAAGCUUCCCUAAAGAGGGCUGCCUUGACCAGCUGGGACUGGAAAAACUGAAAGAAGGGACCCCAAAUGUUGCUGGCCAUUUAGAAGAUCAUAAGGAGAGUCCCCGAAAUAAUAAUAAUAAUAAUAAUAAUAAUAAUAAUAAUAAUAAUGGUAAUUUAAAAAAAUAUUAUUUAUUUAUACUCCACCCAUCUGGCUGGGUUUCCCCAGCCACUCUGAGUGGCCUCCAGCAAAAUAUUAAAAUAUAAUAAUUCAUCAAAUAUUAAAAGCUUCCCUAAACAGGGCUGCCUUCUUCCUUGUUCCCCCCAUCCUAUAGCCUUGGAAUGUUCUUGUCAUGUGCUGCAAUACAUUCAUCGUUUCCAAACCAGGGUGGGUGAAGGGAAACUGUGUUUCUAACCAUUCCCCAUUUCUUCAUUCUUCUCCUUCCCUAAUUUCGGUGUAAAAUUGCUGUUGAGUAAAUGUCUACGCAAUUGCUGUCAUCAUCUGCAGCUGAAGUGUCGUCAAGAGAUGUGCCAUCAUUGAAUCUGGCUACUAAUCCAUCUCUAUCUGUCAUCCUCUGUUCCUAUUAUGGGUUUUUAAAAUAGGCUCAAUUUCUGAUUAAAAAGUGAUCUGUCUAGUAAGGCAGACAUGCUGAUUUUUAGCACUAAGCUCAGUACAGAAGAGAUAAAAGUAUCUUUGCUAAAUGGAAUGACAGGAUCUUAGUAAUCAUUAACAUGCAUGAAUUAUACAGUCACUGCUAAACCUUUGGAAAUCAACAAAUACGUUUAACACAGCUCAUGGGGACAAAAAGAAAAACUAAGAAAUUAAAUCAAAAUAGUUCUUGUACCUUUGCUCUCUUUCUUCUUUUAUUAUAAGAUUUUUCAUCUUUCUUUUCCCACCCUCUCUCAUGCCUCCUUGCACAUAAAUUUUUCUUUCAAUAUAUAUUUGAAAGACUCUAAUCCAAAGGUUUCGUAUGAAUAAAGCUACCGUUGCAAGCUUCACCUGAAGCAGGAUAACAUUCUAAAGCAGUCUCCUCUUUAAUCUCCAUUCAGAUUGCCUCUAGCAAAGUUCUAUAAGAGAAUCCAAAAGGCAAGGAAGGUAUGCUAUUUUAUUUCAAUGGUGAAAUAGAGUAUUUUGCUAUAGCUAUUCCAUGGAAUGCAAAAGAAAGAGAGCGAGAGAAGAUGGCGUUUCACACAUACACAAAUUCUUAAAACAGUUCAUGAUCACAUCACUUCCUCUGAUAAGAACAGCAACACUGAGGUCAAUAAACUUAAUUUCAGAAGGUUUGUGAAUGCGUGCAUUUAGCUUGAUUGCUUUUUUUUUUUUAGUUUUAAGGUUUAGUUUAGGUUGCUGAAGGUACGCUUGAUGUGACUUGAUGCGUAUUUAAACUAUAAAAUUCAGAAUGGACUGAGCAUUUGGUUGCAAAGAAAGAUACAGUUCUUUCAACCUCAACUGCACUUGACAGCAGUAGCAGUAGCAGUAGCUCCAGCAAGUAAUUGCAUGUCUUUUGGGGCAAGGCAAGAAUGAUAAAGCAUGUUCUCCCUGAAAUGAGAGCACGUUUUGCGGUGGGGUCUGCCAAGCCAACCCUCUGUUGCCAGGCAGGUAAAAGUGAGCUGGCCUGGGGCAACGAUUGGAUGGCCGGGUUGCUGGGGCAAAUUGCAUGUUGCAAUGUGGUGGGUGGGACCAAAGGCUUUAAAUAUUGGGGCACAUCUUUUGCUUUCUCUUUCGCUGAGUGCAUUGGAUCACCCUCCUGCCCACCCUGAGUUCCGGUUGACCUUGCUAUGCCUGUCAUGGGGUCGACUACCUUGGGGCAGGGGCCUAGUAGGAAUUUUGUCCAUUUGGCUGAUUGGCUGGUGCCAUUUGGUUUUUGCCUACUACUUAGCAAUUCUUCACAACUUGUAAGGUUGCGGUUAGGCAUUGGUUAUAAAAAAUUGGUUGGAGGAGGGGUAAGGAUAGGUGGUGUGGAAGGGAAUUCUAUUAAAGGAAUCCAGGGGCUUGCCACGAUUUUGUCCAAUCCCUGAAAUGGGACCAGGGCCGGCAAGCUCUGGGAAGCAGGUUGGGUGAGCGGUGAGGGACUGUGACUCAGCUCCAUUGCUCCCCAAUAUUGUUUUCCCUUCACUGGCUUCCGAGGGAGUUCGGAAGUCAGUUCUGUCCCAGGCAGGGGGACAGAUAGUCUUAACCAAUGCCUAAGCAACCACUCACAGAUUAUGUAUUUUAAUAAAGUUGUGGCCAAAAUUAUGCCAAAAACCUUAAACAAAAAUUAUGUGUGAAUUGUGAAUUAUUUUGAGGGGUGGCUUGGGGACCUUGACACGCAAUGCCACUUUUGCAUGGUAAAUGGAGAAACAAGCAGGUGGACAGCAGUGACUGGCCUACAUUUUGGGGGUUCUGCAGUUUAGACUGUCAUGUUAGCCCUUCAUAACAGCAAUGAAGUCUCAGUAACUACUGCUAUCUUCUUCUAUGGGAUUAUUGCACGACAGAUCACCACACCUUUACAACAUUUGUGCUGCUGACUAUCAAACUUUGUGAUUGUAGAAAUAUGCACCCCAAAACUUGAGUGAAACCACACAAAUGGGGUCUACCGCUCAAAUUUUUGAAGAAAUGUGGACUAAAAUUGCUUCUAGGGCCCCUUUGGGAUUAGGUGCCCUGAAGCUGAAUCUUCCUUAGUGUCAUUGUCAAUCCGGUUGCAGAUAUUAAUAUUCUGCUCUUUGAAACAAUUGGAAGCAUAAGAACUGACUCUUUUUGGAAAGGAAUCAUUGUCCAGGUCCAUAAAAACAUGAUUCAAACUUUUACUGACAGAACUCUUCAAAACAAAACAUAAGCAUCAAAGAUACAACUAAAAAUAUCCAUACUAUAUCUUGUGCUGUCCAGCACAGGCUCAGCAUCUUAGAAAAUAUGAAUUAAUCUAAACAGACCUAGAAACAGAGGUUUCUCUCUCUCUCUCUCUCUCUCUCUCUCUCUCUCUCUCUCUCCACAGCCUGCACUCCAGCUUCCAGGCUGUUUACUCUCCCUUCAGGAGAGCUUCUUUUACAUCCUGUCUCCAUGAAGCUUGGUGAGACAAAGACUAAAGGCAACUCCCUUCAAAAUGGAAAUUUGCAACUCAAUACCUUCAUCACAUGAUCUACGGCUACAACACUCACAUUUUAGUUACCAGAGAACAACAGUCAGUUAAUCGCUAACCCAUUAAGUAGUUCAGAGUUCCUUAGAAAAUCUACUGUGGAAAACCCCCAGUGUUAUACAUUAUAAGCCUUCAUUAAUACACACACAUUUUUCAUUUCUGUGUGAAUUAAAUCAAUUAUACUUAACAUGGACAGCCUGUC